AUGCACUCCAUGUUCACAGUUCGAUUAUUAACAGGGCUUUCACUUUAUGUCCCUACUCUGUGUAUUGGGUCAUGUUAAUUUUCUGCAAAUUCUUGAGAGAAAUAAAUUAGUCCAUAAAAUUGCCGUGAAAAUGGGGUUUAUUUGAUCUCUGUAAGUAAUGUAAUUUGAUUUUAAAAUAUUUGACAAGGUUGAAAAAUUGAUUUUUAGUUAAUACAGUAUGUAGUAAAUACAGUCUCUCUACCACUCCUGGAUUUCCUUUUAGUAGGUUAAACUUUUUUCAAAUGUGUUAUGUCAAAAUAUUUUAAUCUUUGUGAUCUUGUUUUAACUUUUUGUGUUAGUAUAUAAGUAGUUGGUAUCUGCUUCUGAGCUGCAUUGAUUAAUUGGAGUUAGUCAGAAAAAUAGCAUUAUUUCAGGCAGUGUAGUCCCUAAAUGCACAUAUAUUUGGGAAAAUGUUUGAAUUUCAAAAUUGUAUUUUCAUUACGGCUCCUGCAUUUAACUCAAAAUCAUUUUUGCAAACUUUUGUUUUCCGCAAAUUGGUUAUGUGAAUGCUCCCAAGAACAGACUUACACCAGAGAUGUUGAUUUUUCCCAGAAAUGUUUUCUUUAAUGAUAUUAGAAUGCAUAAAAUAUUUAUCUAACUUCAGUAUGUAUCAAAACAUUGGUCUACAUUUUGCUUUUUCAAAGAGUAUAAUUUGGAUUUUGUGAUGCUUCAGAUUUUAAUCUCUUUUCGCAGAGUGCCUGAAAGGGUGCUGGCUAUGUUAAAUUGUCUUUAGUUAAUCAAAUUAAUGGAAGUUAACAUGCAAGUCUUGGGGGGCUACUAGGAGCACACCAAACAAGAGUAGGCAUAGCCCCAGUAGUUGUGAAACCUGUUCCUUUAAUCAUGGUGUCUUGCCUCAGAGGAUUUGGAGGAGCGUAUGAGUGUCUUUUACUUGGUUUUGCUUUUAAGUAGAUUUUAUUUUGUUUCUGUCCUCACAGUGAAUAAAUAGGGGAGCUGAGCUUUUAUGUUUGCAGUUAGUUACAGAUAUUUGGAAAAAUGAAUUGAACUGUUCUGCUAAGAGCUAAAACCAGGAGAGGUUAUUUUGCGUGCAGGAAAUCCAUGGCCUCCUAUAGCUAUGCUUAAAAAUGUUGAAAUGUCGGUGAUAUUCUAAUCGCUGUAUAAGAUCCUGCUAAUUAUAGAGCUUGCUUCCCUGUAGACAGUUGAAAGCAGUUAGUUUGCAAUUUCAGUUACACAUGAGUGCAAAAAGACAAUCGCUGCAGAAAGUGUCAAACAAGUGAGCAAACAAAAGUUGAGCUUAGUAAAAUUAAAUAAAUAGUGUUAUUAAAAACAGGUUGUCAGAUGCUUGGGGUAGGCAAGGCAGAUCCUACUCCUUUUUGCAGAGAUUAGGGUGAGUUUACAUACAUGUAUGGGUAUAUCAUUCAUGAUUUUGAAGGCAUAAAAUCAUAUCAUAGAACUAUCAUUUCUCUUUAUUUUUUUUCUAACUUCCUCACCAACUGUUGAUCAAGGGAGUGAUGCAUGAUGAAACCAUUAACAAUAGUGACAGGUCAUUCUGGUUUAUUCUGAUUUAACAUAUAAUGUUCUGCUAACUUUUAUUGGAAGUCAUAUUUAUCAAAUAUUUUCAGUGUGGUGUGAUUGAAGUGGCACUCUAAAGGCAGUCAGUAAUCCAAAACCUCCCAUUUGUCUGCAUCAGUAACUCAGCAGGAGUUGGACGGUUUGGAAAAAGUUCAGUUUUAAGUAUAUGCUUUGACCUCCUGCUGAAGGCUGCUCCUGCACCUUUCCUUUCUUUUUCUUUUCUCCUCUCCUUCUCUUAUUCCUUCUUUUAGGGUGCUGUAUUUUUUGUGUGCGUGUGUGGGGGUGUUUGGUUGUUUUCAGCAAGGAUCGUAGAGUGUGAGGAACAGUCAAAAUGAUGUUUCAAGUAUGGGCUGGAAUCAAGGCAUAAUUGAGGGAAAAAAAUGCUCAGAUGAAGUUUGGAAUAGCAAUGAAUAGAUUUUUUUUUUUUUUUUUUUUUUGUCUUCGCAAUAGGUGGAAGCAUUCACUGACUUACAGUGGCCAUCACUACUUGAUCCUGUAUUUGGACAGUUUCUGUUUUUUUUUUUUUUUUUUUUUUAAUAUUUAUUUUGUUUUUAAUUUGUUUGCUUUAGUAAUGCUAUUUUUUGAAACAGUGUCAUUGUGAUUAUUAAAAUGAAGGACCCUAAUGGUAUGUAAACAGCCCAUUUAAAUUUUAUUGAGAACAGCCUGUCUCAGUACUUGGCAAAAUAUUAAGGCAUAGUCACACCCUCAAUUUAUACCAUUUUCAACAUGCUUCUGAGACUGCUUCCCUUUCUUUGUCUAACCAGGAAAGGAGGACAUAAGGCUCAAGCCUCUUUUGUUAUUGGUGUGAUACAAAUGUACGCCAUGAAAAGCCAAGACUGGGCUAUUGGGUUUACUGAGCAUCAUGGUUCAACAGUAAAA